rnacentral:rRNA from 1 species
UACGGAGGGGGCUAGCGUUGUUCGGAAUUACUGGGCGUAAAGCGCACGUAGGCGGCUUUGUAAGUUAGAGGUGAAAGCCCAGGGCUUAACCCUGGAAUUGCCUUUAAGACUGCAUCGCUCGAAUUGUGGAGAGGUGAGUGGAAUUCCGAGUGUAGAGGUGAAGUUCGUAGAUAUUCGGAAGAACACCAGUGGCGAAGGCGACUCACUGGACACAUAUUGACGCUGAGGUGCGAAAGCGUGGGGAGCAAACAGG